AACGAACGCUGGCGGCAGGCUUAACACAUGCAAGUCGAGCGCCCCGCAAGGGGAGCGGCAGACGGGUGAGUAACGCGUGGGAAUCUACCCAUCUCUACAGAAUAACGCAUGGAAACGUGUGCUAAUACCGUAUACGUCCUUCGGGAGAAAGAUUUAUCGGAGAUGGAUGAGCCCGCGUUGGAUUAGCUAGUUGGUGGGGUAAAGGCCUACCAAGGCGACGAUCCAUAGCUGGUCUGAGAGGAUGAUCAGCCACACUGGGACUGAGACACGGCCCAGACUCCUACGGGAGGCAGCAGUGGGGAAUAUUGGACAAUGGGCGCAAGCCUAAUCCAGCCAUGCCGCGUGAGUGAUGAAGGCCCUAGGGUUGUAAAGCUCUUUCACCGGUGAAGAUAAUGACGGUAACCGGAGAAGAAGCCCCGGCUAACUUCGUGCCAGCAGCCGCAGUAACAC
rnacentral:rRNA from 1 species